rnacentral:rRNA from 1 species
UCGAGAAUCUUCGGCAAUGGACGCAAGUCUGACCGAGCGAUGCCGCGUGCGGGAUGAAGGCCCUCGGGUUGUAAACCGCUGUCAGUUGGGAGGAAAUCUCCGGGGGUUCUCCCUCGGAGUUGACCGAUCUUCAGAGGAAGGACGGGCUAAGUUCGUGCCAGCAGCCGCGGUAACACGAACCGUCCAAACGUUAUUCGGUAUCACUGGGCUUAAAGCGUGCGUAGGCGGCCUGGAAGGUGAGAUGUGAAAUCCCACGGCUCAACCGUGGAACUGCGUUUCAAACCACCAGGCUUGAGGAAGACAGGGGUGAUGGGAACUUAUGGUGGAGCGGUGAAAUGCGUUGAUAUCAUAGGGAACACCGGUGGCGAAAGCGCAUCACUGGGUCUUUUCUGACGCUGAGGCACGAAAGCUAGGGUAGCGAACG